UCCAGCUUUCUUACCUUCGCACGCCUGCCUUGCUUCGCUUGCUGUAAUCCCUGCAAUCCAUUGCAUCAGCAAGCAACUGAAUCUCCCUGCCUGCAAUCAAGCUCAUCGGUGAGCAGCUCUUUCUGCCUGCCUGCCUGCCUGCCUGCCUACCUGUUAAAAAAGGGCAAAGAAGUGACGUUGACUUGGCCACGCCCACCUGACCACCAAGCCACGCCCACCCAGUCACCUGACCACCAAGCCACAUCCACUAAUUAAGCCACACCCACAGAACCGGUAGCAAAAAAUUUUAGAUUUCACCCCUGCCACCAAGCCAUUCCCACAGAACCAGUAGUAAAAAAUUUUGAAUCCCACCACUGAUCUAGUUCCCUCAACUGUUCAUUAUCCAAUUAAACCUCUAAACCAGUGAUGGGUUGCCCCUGGUUUGGACCGGUUUGCAAGAACCAGUAGUAAAAUCAGCAGGAGGUCCCGCCCACUGCCCCGGAUGUCAUCAUCAGCGAUCUGCACAUGCGCAGAAGCAAGGUGCGUGUGCGAGCAAAGCGCGUGCAUGUGUGAUCCCGUUGCGAACUGUUAGCAAAGGGCAAGAAGAGCUGAGCUACUGAGCUCCGGAUGGCUCCUGAUCUCCACUCCUUCCGUCAGGACCUGAAGAUUUGGCUGUUCAAGCAAAUAGGCUGACUCUGAUUCUGGGUUUUAUUAUUUAUUAUUUAUUAGUUAAUUUGGUUUAAAAUGGGAUUUUGUUGUACAUGUUUUUAACUUGUGUUCGCCGCCCUGAGUCCUUCUGGAGAAGGGCAGCAUAUAAAUACAUGAA